rnacentral:tRNA from 1 species
GUGGGCAUAGCUCAGUGGUAGGGCACAUGCUUGGCAUGCAUGAGGUCCCAGGUUCCAUCCCCAUGCUUCCA